rnacentral:rRNA from 1 species
GGGCCCGCACAAGCGGUGGAGCAUGUGGUUUAAUUCGACGCAACGCGCAAAACCUUACCUGGGCUAGAAAUGACAGGAACCUGGUUGAAAGAUCGGGGUGCCCUUCGGGGAAUCUGUUGUUAGGUGCUGCAUGGCUGUCGUCAGCUCGUGUCGUGAGAUGUUGGGUUAAGUCCCGCAACGAGCGCAACCCUUGCCGUUAGUUGCCAUCAUUAAGUUGGGCACUCUAACGGGACUGCCGACCUUCAAGUCGGAGGAAGGUGGGGAUGACGUCAAGUCCUCAUGGCCCUUACGUCCAGGGCUACACACGUGCUACAAUGGCCGGUACAAUGGGUUGCGAACCCGCGAGGGGGAGCUAAUCUCAAAAAACCGGCCUCAGUACAGAUAAGAGUCUGCAACUCGACUCUUUGAAGUCGGAAUCGCUAGUAAUCGCUGAUCAGCAUGGCAGCGGUGAAUACGUUCCCGGGCCUU